CUUCUCCAGUUGGGGUUUGUUCCCUCUCGCGCCGACGCCUCUCUGUUUUUCUUCCGCCAUCAGGAUGUUCAGAUAUACAUGCUUGUCUACGUGGAUGAUAUUGUUAUUGCUGGCUCUUCUCCACGUGCAGUUGACGGUCUUGUUCAUUCACUUGCGGCCACCUUUUCUAUUAAGGACCUUGGGCCGCUGGAGUACUUUCUUGGCUUGGAAGCGUCGUACAAUUCAGGGGGUAUGACCUUGACACAACGGAAGUAUGCCUUGGAUCUUUUACAUCGUGUGAACAUGGAGAAUUGUAAGUCCACUUCCACACUGUUGUCUACCUCCGACCAGCUUGCACGGGUGUCUGGACAGCCUCUCGGUGCCGAUGAUUCUUUCCGGUAUCGUAGUGUCGUUGGUGGAUUGCAGUAUUUGACUCUCACUCGCCCAGACAUUUCAUUUGCAGUGAACAAGGUAUGCCAGUUUCUCUCACAGCCCACUGAUGUUCAUUGGGAA
rnacentral:rRNA from 1 species